UUUACGGAGAGUUUGAUCCUGGCUCAGGAUGAACGCUGGCGGCGUGCUUAACACAUGCAAGUCGAACGGUGAACACGGAGCUUGCUCUGUGGGAUCAGUGGCGAACGGGUGAGUAACACGUGAGCAACCUGCCCCUGACUCUGGGAUAAGCGCUGGAAACGGCGUCUAAUACUGGAUAUGUGACGUGACCGCAUGGUCUGCGUUUGGAAAGAUUUUUCGGUUGGGGAUGGGCUCGCGGCCUAUCAGCUUGUUGGUGAGGUAAUGGCUCACCAAGGCGUCGACGGGUAGCCGGCCUGAGAGGGUGACCGGCCACACUGGGACUGAGACACGGCCCAGACUCCUACGGGAGGCAGCAGUGGGGAAUAUUGCACAAUGGGCGAAAGCCUGAUGCAGCAACGCCGCGUGAGGGAUGACGGCCUUCGGGUUGUAAACCUCUUUUAGCAGGGAAGAAGCGAAAGUGACGGUACCUGCAGAAAAAGCGCCGGCUAACUACGUGCCAGCAGCCGCGGUAAUACGUAGGG
rnacentral:ncRNA from 1 species